rnacentral:rRNA from 1 species
CAGUCGCCACGGGAAUACGGAGGGUGCGAGCGUUAAUCGGAAUUACUGGGCGUAGAGCGUACGCAGGCGGUUUGUUAAGUCAGAUGUGAAAUCCCCGAGCUUAACUCGGGAACUGCAUUUGAAACUGGCAGGCUAGAGUCUCGUAGAGGGGGGUAGAAUUCCAGGUGUAGCGGUGAAAUGCGUAGAGAUCUGGAGGAAUACCGGUGGCGAAGGCAGCCCCCUGGACGAAGACUGACGCUCAGGUACGAAAGCGUGGGGAGCAAACAGGAUUAGAUACCCGAGUAGUCCCUGUCUCUUAUAC